rnacentral:rRNA from 1 species
GACGAACGCUGGCGGCGUGCCUAAUACAUGCAAGUAGAACGCUGAAGGAGGAGCUUACUUCUCUGGAUGAGUUGCGAACGGGUGAGUAACGCGUAGGUAACCUGCCUGGUAGCGGGGGAUAACUAUUGGAAACGAUAGCUAAUACCGCAUAAGAGUAAAUGUUGCAUGACAUUUACUUAAAAGGUGCAAUUGCACCACUACCAGAUGGAACUGCGUUGUAUUAGCUAGUUGGUGGGGUAACGGCUUACCAAGGCGACGAUACAUAGCCGACAUGAGAGGGUGAUCGGCCACACUGGGACUGAGACACGGCCCAGACUCCUACGGGAGGCAGCAGUAGGGAAUCUUCGGCAAUGGACGGAAGUCUGACCGAGCAACGCCGCGUGAGUGAAGAAGGUUUUCGGAUCGUAAAGCUCUGUUGUAAGAGAAGAACGAGUGUGAGAGUGGAAAGUUCACACUGUGACGGUAUCUUACCAGAAAGGGACGGCUAACUACGUGCCAGCCGCCGCGGUAA